UGGAUCAAAACCAUAAUCCUUUUACUAUCAAAUAUUACGUGACUUUCAGGGUUUAACUCUUUUUAAUGACAUCCUAAAAAAUAAAAAAAUAAAAAAGAAUGGGUAGAAAAACUGUUGCAGCAUCGAGAGGCGAGAACGAAUUUCUUCAGAUUUUGACUAUUCAGAAGUUUUAAGAAAGAAAAAGACUCUUGCAAAAUUGCUUGCUUUCGGUUUCUUCGGUUAAGGUGUUUCAGAGGCUCAGACACAACUUCACCUUUAGAGUUUGAUAGCAGACCUUGAUCCAAGAGUGAGCACUACAUCUCCAGGAUGUCAUGGGUCAUCUUAUUUAUCCUUGUCCAUCUUUUAGGCAAUGAAACAUUCUUCAUUUACUUUAUUUUUGGAUAUCUCCUUAGACACGAUCUUUGUUAGAAGUUCUUGUACGAUGACUUUUGAAUCUUGGGGAUUUCAGUAAAUAGUUUGUUUGAUUUCUGCA